GCUUACUGGGCCAUUACUGACGCUGAGGCACGNNNNCGUGGGGAGCGAACAGGAUUAGAUACCCUGGUAGUCCACGCCGUAAACGAUGAUCACUCGCUGUUGGCGAUACACAGUCAGCGGCUAAGCAAAAGCAUUAAGUGAUCCACCUGGGGAGUACGGCCGCAAGGCUGAAACUCAAAGGAAUUGACGGGGGCCCGCACAAGCGGAGGAACAUGUGGUUUAAUUCGAUGAUACGCGAGGAACCUUACCUGGGCUUAAAUGUAGAGUGCAUGGGGUAGAAAUAUCCCUUUCCUUCGGGACUCUUUGCAAGGUGCUGCAUGGUUGUCGUCAGCUCGUGCCGUGAGGUGUCGGGUUAAGUCCCAUAACGAGCGCAACCCUUAUCGUUAGUUGCCAGCGGGUAAUGCCGGGAACUCUAACGAAACUGCCGGUGUAAACCGUGAGGAAGGUGGGGAUGACGUCAAAUCAGCACGGCCCUUAUGUCCAGGGCUACACACGUGUUACAAUGGCCGGUACAGAGGGCAGCUACCUGGAGACAGGAUGCGAAUCUCCAAAGCCGGUCUCAGUUCGGAUCGGAGUCUGCAACUCGACUCCGUGAAGCUGGAUUCGCUAGUAAUCGCGCAUCAGCCAUGGCGCGGUGAAUACGUUCCCGGGCCUUGUACACACCGCCCGUCAAGCCAUGGAAGUUGGGGGUACCUGAAGUCCGUNNCCGUA
rnacentral:rRNA from 1 species